CAGGAUGAACGCUGGCGGCGUGCUUAACACAUGCAAGUCGAACGGUGAAGCCAAGCUUGCUUGGUGGAUCAGUGGCGAACGGGUGAGUAACACGUGAGCAACCUGCCCUGGACUCUGGGAUAAGCGCUGGAAACGGCGUCUAAUACUGGAUAUGAGACGUGAUCGCAUGGUCGUGUUUGGAAAGAUUUUUCGGUCUGGGAUGGGCUCGCGGCCUAUCAGCUUGUUGGUGAGGUAAUGGCUCACCAAGGCGUCGACGGGUAGCCGGCCUGAGAGGGUGACCGGCCACACUGGGACUGAGACACGGCCCAGACUCCUACGGGAGGCAGCAGUGGGGAAUAUUGCACAAUGGGCGAAAGCCUGAUGCAGCAACGCCGCGUGAGGGAUGACGGCCUUCGGGUUGUAAACCUCUUUUAGCAGGGAAGAAGCGAAAGUGACGGUACCUGCAGAAAAAGCGCCGGCUAACUACGUGCCAGCAGCCGCGGUAAUACGUAGGGCGCAAGCGUUAUCCGGAAUUAUUGGGCGUAAAGAGCUCGUAGGCGGUUUGUCGCGUCUGCUGUGAAAUCCCGAGGCUCAACCUCGGGCCUGCAGUGGGUACGGGCAGACUAGAGUGCGGUAGGGGAGAUUGGAAUUCCUGGUGUAGCGGUGGAAUGCGCAGAUAUCAGGAGGAACACCGAUGGCGAAGGCAGAUCUCUGGGCCGUAACUGACGCUGAGGAGCGAAAGGGUGGGGAGCAAACAGGCUUAGAUACCCUGGUAGUCCACCCCGUAAACGUUGGGAA
rnacentral:rRNA from 1 species